CGACCUGAGCUCAGGCAAGAUACC
rnacentral:rRNA from 2 species